CAGAGGUGCCGUCGAGUUGCAAACUUCAGGAAGAAGACGGGAGUGAAUCGGCGGCUGUCGUGAGAACGCAGGAAUAACCGCCGACAAAUUCUCUCCUUCAUUUUUUUUUUCACGCCGCCAACUUCGCUCAAUCUCAUUAUCCGUCUCCGCCCGACGAACACAUUAUCUGUAAUGCUGCAUGUCUGUUCCUUUCUCUCUCUCUCACACACACACACACACACACACACGCACACACUUCUCUCUUGAGCUCUGAUGAGUUUACGCCUUCCCUUUAGGUUCGGCCGCUGUGAUGUGAUGUGAUUUUUAAUAAGGAAGGUGUUUCCUGAGCCCGGUGCUGGUUCCUGUGGAGUGAGAGAGUCUUCUGGGAGAGGGACUAAAGAAAAAGUCAUGAACGCUUGAUCCCAAUAAGCAGAAAAAUGACCUGAGCGUGAAACUGAAGUUUGACGACGUCUCCCUGAGGUCUUAACCACCCUAGCUAUAUGACGUUGUGAUGCACCUCCACUCAGCCGUGAAAUAAAGCUGCCGAGACUCAACAGACCAUUGAAGGCGCAACAGAAGCAGCUGCCACCGUCCUGUGCUCCUGUUGGCUUCCUGAUUGUUUUCACCUGUCAUCACACCUGUCUCCUAUGCUCAUCAGUGUCAGCCCCGCCCCUGAUUGGUCCCACCUGUGUCUUGUUACCAUGUGCUUAAAUUCCCCUGUCUCCCAGUGUUCCUUGUCAGUUCGUCUGGUCUUUUGCCAUGAUCAGGUCGGGUUAUGUUGUGCUCUUGAAAAGUUUUUGAUCCCUCACUACGUGAGCGCUUUCAUUUGUUCACUGCAGAACCGAAGA